GACGAACGCUGGCGGCGUGCCUAACACAUGCAAGUCGAACGGAGCUAUUCAUGAGCUUGCUUAGGAAUAGCUUAGUGGCGGACGGGUGAGUAACGCGUGAGUAACCUGCCUUUCAGAGGGGGAUAACGUUCUGAAAAGAACGCUAAUACCGCAUAACAUAUCGGAGCUGCAUGGCUCUGAUAUCAAAAGAGCAAUCUGCUGAAAGAUGGACUCGCGUCCGAUUAGAUAGUUGGUGGGGUAACGGCUCACCAAGUCGACGAUCGGUAGCCGGACUGAGAGGUUGAACGGCCACAUUGGGACUGAGACACGGCCCAGACUCCUACGGGAGGCAGCAGUGAGGGAUAUUGGGCAAUGGGGGGAACCCUGACCCAGCAACGCCGCGUGAGGGAAGACGGUUUUCGGAUUGUAAACCUCUGUCCUCUGUGAAGAUAAUGACGGUAGCAGAGGAGGAAGCUCCGGCUAACUACGUGCCAGCCGCC
rnacentral:rRNA from 1 species